rnacentral:rRNA from 1 species
ACGCUCGACACCUACGGGGGAGCAGCAGUUGGGAAUAUUGGACAAUGGAGGAAACUCUGAUCCAGUGACGCCGCGUGAAGGAAGAAGGUCUUCGGAUUGUAAACUUAUUUUGUCAGGGAAGAAAAAUGACUGUACCUGAAGAAAAAGCACCGGCUAACUACGUGCCAGCAGCCGCGGUAAUCUGAGCGGGCUGGCAAGGC